rnacentral:rRNA from 1 species
GACGAACGCUGGCGGCGUGCCUAAUACAUGCAAGUAGAACGCACAGUUUAUACCGUAGCUUGCUACACCAUAGACUGUGAGUUGCGAACGGGUGAGUAACGCGUAGGUAACCUGCCUGGUAGCGGGGGAUAACUAUUGGAAACGAUAGCUAAUACCGCAUAAUAUUAAUUAUUGCAUGAUAAUUGAUUAAAAGGUGCAAUUGCACCACUACCAGAUGGACCUGCGUUGUAUUAGCUAGUAGGUGAGGUAACGGCUCACCUAGGCGACGAUACAUAGCCGACCUGAGAGGGUGAUCGGCCACACUGGGACUGAGACACGGCCCAGACUCCUACGGGAGGCAGCAGUAGGGAAUCUUCGGCAAUGGACGAAAGUCUGACCGAGCAACGCCGCGUGAGUGAAGAAGGUUUUCGGAUCGUAAAGCUCUGUUGUAAGAGAAGAACGGGUGUGAGAGGGAAAGUCACACUGUGACGG